AGGAACCCAGCUGUCAUUCAGUGGAGAUGUAACGUUUAUGUAUAUGGCAACAAUGAAGCUAAACAUAAUUACCAUAAAGAAUCCUAUACCUGGUAAAUGGAAUCUAAGACUCGUAGAUACAGCGGAUUAUUACAUCAUCGUUAAUGUUACAGCCCAAAGUGAACUUUUCUUUUCAUCACAUGUCAUGGAAAUGGCAGAUGGAUUGUUGACUGCAAUGAGUGGAAACCCGAUACAAGGAAACGAAUAUAUCCUUAUGACAACAGUAUACAGUUUAGAUAAUGGAACUCUAGACCGAAUAGGUGUGUU